AAAUCCUAAUUCUAAUAGAAUACUAACAAUGCUCUAAUUAGAUCAUAAUAAUAUUAAGCAAGCUUAAUCAAAUUCAAAAAAAUCUCAAAGAAAUUUCAAACAAACAAUAAGAAUUCUUAAAGAAAUAUUAGAAGGAUCACAAAUAUCACUCAAAUACAUCUCAAUUCAAUCUUAAUUUAAUUCUACUUAAGAUCCUAUUGAACUUCAUUCAAACUUUAGGCCAAAACUAAUUGAAUCUUAAAUCCUAAUAAAAUCCUAAAUCUUAAAUCAAACCUUAAACAAACCUUAAACCAAACUCCAACCAAAUCCUAAAUCCUAAACCAAAUCCUAAUCCAAAUCCUAAAUCCUAAAUCAAAUCCUAAUCCAAAUCCUAAAUUCUAAACCAAAUCCUAAACCAAACCCUAACUAAAUCCUAAACCAAAUUCUAAACCCUAACCAAAUCUUAAUCCAAAUCCUAAUCCAAAUCCUAAAUCCUAAACCAAACCCUAAUCAAAUCCUAAUUCAAAUCCUAAAAUCUAAACCAAACCCUAACCAAAUCCUAAUCCAAAUCCUAAACCCUAACCAAACCUUAAUCCAAAUCCUAAAUAAAACCCCAACCAAAUCCUAAACCAAACUCUAAAUCAAAUCCUAAAUAAACCUUAAACCAAACUCCAACCAAAUCCUAAAUCAAAUCCUAAUACAAACCCUAAAUCCUAAACCAAAUCCUAACCAAACUCUAAACCCUAAAUCAAGUCUUAAUCAAAUCCUACACCCUAAAUCAAAUCCUAAU
rnacentral:lncRNA from 1 species